UGCGGUCCUUGGAUUUCCAAUCCCGGACCACGCCUGGCUGAGGGUCG
rnacentral:rRNA from 6 species